rnacentral:rRNA from 1 species
UGGUGGAGUGAUUUGUCUGGUUAAUUCCGAUAACGAACGAGACCUUAACCUACUAAAUAGCCAGGCUAGCUUUGGCUGGUCGCCGGCUUCUUAGAGGGACUUUCGGCUCAAGCCGAAGGAAGUUUGAGGCAAUAACA